rnacentral:lncRNA from 1 species
UUCGAUGUAUAUGUUGUUUAAUCACUUAUACUUAUGAUUCAUUAGUAAUAUAUUCUUUGAUGGAUUAAUCAUUUCGGACUAGCUGAAUAUGGGUAAUUCCAUCUGUUAUCUUUCUCACCGGAGAAUAAGGAACUGCUUUACAUACAAGAUUAUAUCUUUUCUAUUUGAACUCCCCGAUCUCUUAUGGAUGGUCAAAGAUGUAUUUUCCGGAAUAAUGACAUAAGUUUGUUAUAGAUCUUUCUCAUAUGUAUAAUUUUAUUUAAAUUUAGU